rnacentral:rRNA from 1 species
UACGGAGGGUGCAAACGUUGCUCGGAAUCAUAGGGCGUAAAGCGCACGUAGGCGGCCCGCUAAGUCGGAUGUGAAAUCCCUCGGCUCAACCGAGGACGUGCAUUCGAUACUGGCAGGCUUGAAUAUGGAAGAGGGUCGCGGAAUUCCCGGUGUAGAGGUGAAAUUCGUAGAUAUCUGGAGGAACACCGGUGGCGAAGGCGGCAUCCUGGACCGAUACUGACGCUGAGGAGCGAAAGCCAGGGGAGCAAACGGG